rnacentral:rRNA from 1 species
UUUCAGCGAGGAGGAAGGUGGUGAGCUUAAUACGCUCAUCAAUUGACGUUACUCGCAGAAGAAGCACCGGCUAACUCCGUGCCAGCAGCCGCGGUAAUACGGAGGGUGCAAGCGUUAAUCGGAAUUACUGGGCGUAAAGCGCACGCAGGCGGUUUGUUAAGUCAGAUGUGAAAUCCCCGGGCUCAACCUGGGAACUGCAUUUGAAACUGGCAAGCUAGAGUCUCGUAGAGGGGGGUAGAAUUCCAGGUGUAGCGGUGAAAUGCGUAGAGAUCUGGAGGAAUACCGGUGGCGAAGGCGGCCCCCUGGACGAAGACUGACGCUCAGGUGCGAAAGCGUGGGGAGCAAACAGGGUUNGAUACCCUGGGAG